rnacentral:tRNA from 1 species
UGUGGCUCAGUGGUAGAGCACUUGCCUAGCAUGUAUGAGGCACUGGGUUCGAUUCUUAGCA